rnacentral:tRNA from 1 species
GACGGCGUCCGGCGCGAGAAGUGGCGCCCGCGGGUGGUCUUCCUUGACGCGACCGAUGAGGCGCUCGUGCGGCGGUUCGAGUCCGUUCGCCGUCCCCA